rnacentral:rRNA from 1 species
AUGACCGAAGAGGCGGCCCUAGCCACAACAUCUGGGACCAGCCAGGAAGCACCACCAUCCAGAUCCAUUGUCGAAGAAGGCCCCUGCCUCCUCGCCUGGCUCGAAAGGCGCCGAACCGUCGACAAUGAACACGUUCACCCUAGAACCUGGAUGAGAGGCACCGAUGGCAUCCACAUGGUUGGGAUUAGGCAGACGCGACCUGUCGUCGACUUCUCACCUGGAGCAGAGCAACACCGAAAACCAGAGACUUGGGCAUUCAAGAGGAGAGCUGCCAGGAUGCACGAAGGAGCAGCAGCCCACCACCAGGGGGAGCACAGCACCGCUGGAGAUAACUGCUGCCGCCGACACCCACCGCACACCUCACGGCGAAGACCAAAUUCCCACCUUGCUCCCAAAGCAGCGCCUUCAAGAAGGAAACGGCGCCAAGGGCGUCGCCGCCGCCCAACAUCGUUGGGUUUUCACCCGGGAGGACAAGGGGGAGGGGGUGGGGAAGGUAUACCUGACCAGCGCCUCCAAGAAGGUGCGCGGCGCCCGCGGGCGUCGCCGCCGUCACAGCCAGCAAGGCGGCUAGGGAUUUCUCCUGGCAAACUUCCCGUCCCCACUCCCACCCGGCGAAGAAACCGGCGUCCAGGACGGAGCCGGCCAGAUCUGGGGGGAGGACUUGCGAAUCCGCCGAAGAGGGUGGAGGGCGGCCAGAUCUGGAGCCGCGGAGCCGAAGCCGCCGCCGCCACGCCCUGGCGCGCAUCCACCGGCUGCCUCGCCGUCCACACGGCCGAGGGGCACCGGCCCGCACCUGCGCCACCAUGCGCCGAGGGUCCGGUGGCGCCAAUCCCGCCGGGGCCGCCGCCCCGGGUCGCAAGGCCCCCCGCGAGAGAUGCAGAGCAGCAGGAGAGGCCCCGCCGCCACCAUCCUCAGCAGCGCCCCGGGCGAAGCCGGCGGCUGCCUCAGGCGGCGGCGAGGAGAGGGGUGGCGGGGGAGGAGACGGCGGCGGCGGGCUAG